GACGAACGCUGGCGGCGUGCUUAACACAUGCAAGUCGAACGAGGCCCCUCCUUCGGGAGGGUGUCCUAGUGGCGAACGGGUGAGUAACACGUGGGCAACCUGCCCCCGGCUCUGGGAUAACCCCAAGAAAUUGGGGCUAAUACCGGAUAUGACCGCUGACCGCAUGGUCGGUGGUGGAAAGUUUUUUCGGCUGGGGAUGGGCCCGCGGCCUAUCAGCGUGUUGGUGGGGUAGUGGCCUACCAAGGCGACGACGGGUAGCCGGCCUGAGAGGGUGACCGGCCACACUGGGACUGAGACACGGCCCAGACUCCUACGGGAGGCAGCAGUGGGGAAUAUUGCGCAAUGGGCGGAAGCCUGACGCAGCGACGCUGCGUGGGGGAUGACGGCCUUCGGGUUGUAAACCUCUUUCAGCAGGGACGAAGCGAAAGUGACGGUACCUGCAGAAGAAGCACCGGCCAACUACGUGCCAGCCGCCGCGGUAA
rnacentral:rRNA from 1 species